UACGGGGGGGGCAAGCGUUGUUCGGAAUUACUGGGCGUAAAGGGCUCGUAGGUGGCCAACUAAGUCAGACGUGAAAUCCCUCAGCUUAACUGGGGAACUGCGUCUGAUACUGGAUGGCUUGAGUUUGGGAGAGGGAUGCGGAAUUCCGAGGUGUAGCGGUGAAAUGCGUAGAUAUCUGGAGGAACACCGGUGGCGAAGGCGGCAUCCUGGACCAACACUGACACUGAGGAGCGAAAGCCAGGGGAGCAAACGGG
rnacentral:rRNA from 1 species